rnacentral:rRNA from 1 species
GCAGCGAUGCCGCGUGAGUGAAGAAGGCCUUUGGGUUGUAAAGCUCUUUCGUCGGGGAAGAAAAUGACUGUACCCGAAUAAGAAGGUCCGGCUAACUUCGUGCCAGCAGCCGCGGUAAUACGAAGGGACCUAGCGUAGUUCGGAAUUACUGGGCUUAAAGAGUUCGUAGGUGGUUAAAAAAGUUGGUGGUGAAAUCCCAGAGCUUAACUCUGGAACUGCCAUCAAAACUUUUUAGCUAGAGUAUGAUAGAGGAAAGCAGAAUUUCUAGUGUAGAGGUGAAAUUCGUAGAUAUUAGAAAGAAUACCAAUUGCGAAGGCAGCUUUCUGGAUCAUUACUGACACUGAGGAACGAAAGCAUGGGUAGCGAAGAGGAUUAGAUACCCUCGUAGUCCAUGCCGUAAACGAUGUGUGUUAGACGUUGGAAAUUUAUUUUCAGUGUCGCAGCGAAAGCAAUAAACACACCGCCUGGGGAGUACGACCGCAAGGUUAAAACUCAAAUGAAUUGACGGGGACCCGCACAAGUAGUGGAGCAUGUGGUUUAAUUCGAAGAUACGCGCAGAACCUUACCAACACUUGACAUGUUCGUCGCGACUCUAAGAGAUUAGAGUUUUCGGUUCGGCCGGACGAAACACAGGUGCUGCAUGGCUGUCGUCAGCUCGUGUCGUGAGAUGUUGGGUUAAGUCCCGCAACGAGCGCAACCCUUACUUUUAGUUGCCAUCAUUUAGUUGGGAACUCUGAAAGAACUGCCAGUGAUAAGCUGGAGGAAGGUGGGGAUGACGUCAAGUCCUCAUGGCCCUUACGUGUUGGGCUACACACGUGCUACAAUGGCAUUUACAAUAGGAAGCAAGAUGGCGACAUCAAGCAAAUCCUAAAAAGAUGCCUCAGUUCGGAUUGUACUCUGCAACUCGAGUACAUGAAGCUGGAAUUACUAGUAAUCGCGGAUCAGCGUGCCGCGGUGAAUACGUUCCCGGGUCUUGUACACACCGCCCGUCACACCAUGGGAGUUGGUUCUACCUUAAGGCAAAGCCUAAAAACUUUGACCACGGUAUAGUCAGCGACUGGGGUGAAGUCGUAACAAGGUAGCCGUAGGGGAACCUGCGGCUG